UCUGAGAAGUUAAAUAAAAAAAGAAAAAAAAAAGAAGCAGAACAAGCCACUGUUGAUUCCUGCCUCUUCUUUGUGGUCCCGCUUGCGAUGCUGCUGCAAAAGCAACCCUCCAGCUGCCCGGGAGCAGGAGGCGACUGGCCGGACGCAUCCUGGCUUUCGCUCCAGGCCCGUGGCAAGGGUCAGGGCUCGGCCGGGCAGCUGUGCCAGCACUCAGCAGCUCAGCUGCAGGUUCGGACAGGGCACUGAGCUUCCAACCAGGUGUGCCCCUAUGCGGCAGAGAGCUUUUUUUGGGAAAAUUCAAUUUUAAAAAAGGAGAAAAAAAAAUACUUGACAGUGUCGCUUUCUUGCGUAUCCCUUGCAGGGGUUGAAAUGUGCUGGGUGUAGCACUCGCUGAGGAGCGGUUUGCAACCUGUAACUUGUCUGUUGUAAAGCGCAGAGGGGCUGCCCGGUGCGGGCAGCGGGGGCCAGGCAGGGAUGAUCCUAUCGAGCAAGGCAGAAUGCUGCCAGUGAUUUUAACCCCUGCUCAGAGCUGACCGAUAAUUUCUUUUUUUGGGGGGGAGCAAUUACUUUGUUGCCUUUAAAAAUAGCACUGUAACCACCUUUUUUUAUGAUUAGCUGUAGUAUAAUCUUUGUCCCUUCAAACUAUGCAAGCUAUGAAAUGUAAAUUAGGGAUCAGUUAAAGAUAGUUGAUUAUAUUCAAUCAGAUGGCAUUCAUGCACUAACUGGAGUAUAUACAGAUAAAGCUAUUAGAGUGACUUGUAUGCUAACAGCAAGAUAUAACAUACCUACCUAUUCUAAAAAAAUGACUAUUAAUAUUGUAUAACAGGACUGUGGGGGUUGGGAGGGGAUGUUAUCUUUUAAAAGGGGAUUUAAGAUUUUUAUAACUGUUUUUUCCAUCAAACUUUAAUAUUUUUGUCAAAUUUUUAGGUAUUUAAUUUGUAAAAUAGAUUUUACUUUGUACUGGCGUACAGAAAAUAGGGGUUGAUUUAAAGUUUUUGAAGCCAAGUGAUCAAGUACAUUUGUAAUAAAAAGUCAAUGGAUCUAUAUCAGUUGUACUCACUGUUUUCAUUUCUUGUACGUUCUAAUGCAGUGGCGCUGUAUGUCUCCCAAGGAAAAAAAAUGGGGAGGUGGGUGGAAGGAGAAGGCAAAAAUGACAGCAUUGGUGCUGCAAAUUGAUGCAGCUUUCCAUACGCAAGUGGCCCGUGGUCAGUGGAGAUUUGGUAGAUAAGCAUUUUUACUGAGAAACACGGUGCACUUUUUCAAGACGGGUUUAUGAAAACCUGAUGUUUUUGGCAUGUGUUCACUUCAUGCUUCCACCUUGGUGCCCAUAAACUCUAAAGCCGCCCUUUGGGAAGUGUGUUUCCCUGGCACUUAAGAAAAACAAAACCAAACAAAGCAAAACUCAGAUUUCUUCUAAGGUGGUGAACUAUGGCACUUCACGUUUUUGCACCUGCACACUGUCUCCCUCAAAUGUCUGCCACUUCUUUUCUCUAAGUUCAACAGGUUAAACUUUUUUUAAAGUACAAUUACUGAGAGUUUUGGAUUGAAGACUUCAGCUGAUCCACUGAGUUUGGAUCCAACACCUUGCAGAGCACUGAUGUAAUUAUUUUUUAUUUGCUUGUUUGCUUUAAAACCAGACCUCCUAUUUCCUGUUCUAGGGCAUAUACCAAAUCUGAUUGACUUGUCUGUGGCAGAAGUUUUGGGAGCUAGAAGUGGAGAAUCCUGACAUUAAUGUACAAGAAUGCUAAAACAGGUUUACAUUUCAGGGGGCUCUCAUGAAACACAAAAACUCAAAGUGUAACUAGAACCAACCAGUUUCCUGGGCUUUGCUAGUCCAACAGGUAGAAAACGAGUCUCAGGUGAGUUGGAAAGAAGGCAGCAAAAACAAAUUCUUCCACAGCUGUGCAAUUUGCUCAUUCAAAAACCUGCUUCUUACUGCCUUGGUUUGCUUUUUGAAAGCUAGGGCUCUGCCUAAAGCACUGGAAAGUUUCUCUGUUAAAACAACACUGUCAAGAAUUUUUUAUUUAAUUGCAAAUUUAAAAUCCUGAUUUGCACCUUUUUUUUUUUUUUCCUUUGCUUUAUCAGGCUUACCUAAAUUUUCCUUUUAUUUUCUUACUAUCCUCCUCUGCUGACUGCCUACUCCUUGUUAACUCAGCUUGUGUAAUUGAAGGGUUACUGUUCAUGUUGGUGUUUGGACUAUCUGGAAGAGGGGUCCAGGGUAGUUUUAAGUUCUUGUGCUUGUCUUGGUAUUUUUUGCACAUGCACUUCUCUCCCUGAAAGUUUUACUCUUUUUGGCUUUCUUCUAUAACACGUGAAGAUAGGUGAAAGGAUCUGAAUUUUUGGUAGCAGAACAGAGAAGCAGGCUGCAUGCAAAGUGUUGUCAAAAUGUUUUGACAAAACCGACAAGGUAAACAAGAGAGUUCCAUUUUUAUUCUUGAUUCCUUCUGCUGUUGCCAUCUCCUGUGCCACUUGCAACAAUGAAAGAUAAUUUCAGCCCAGAGCUUUUUUUCAAGCCUGUGGUUCCUUUUACUCUGCUCACUUGCACAUGAUUUAGCUCACUGGCACUGCAAAAUGUGUGUGGGUUGUGAACGUGGCAAGGAGAUACAUAUAUAUAGUUUAAAGCUAGUUAAGGUUAAUAUAACUGGACUUUCAAAAUUAUAACCUUUUCUAAAAGCCUGUUUUAACCAGAGUGUAAUCUUUGGACCUGAAGUUCAUGGCAUUUUUUUUCUCUCUUAAGUGAAAUCUCUUGCAUUGAAAUUGCUGAGGGUGAUAGCCUGAUGGCGCAGGAAGGAUGCUCCUCUCGUGUGACAGCUGACGUUCCUCUUUGGAGUUGGGCUGCCCACUCUGCUCACAUCAGCAGUGCUGCCUGCCUGCUCCUGUACUGUUCAUGCCAGAUGACCUUGGGUCCACUCUGGGAGUUUCUCUUAGACUGCCUAUCCUUCUUUUUCACUUUUUAUCUAUUCACAGCAUUUCAGUUCCCAGUAGGACUGUGUUUUAGCAGCACUACAGUCUGGGGGAAGGUCAGACUACAUAGGGAUCUGCAGUGCAUCCCACCUCUUGUGAAGUUGAAGUGGGCUUGUUGUUAAUGCAGGUCUGAACAGCUGUAGACAGCAGAGAGAGCGAAAUGCCAUCAUGUUUAGGGAUUCACAGAGUUACUUCUCCAAUGGAUAUUUUAUUGCAAUUUGGAUGGCAUAAAAGUUGCUGCUGGAGAAGUACAUUGGAAGGGAAAAGAUGAACGGGUUUGCUUUUGGACGUGCCUUCCCGCAGGCAGGUGUGGUGUUGUUUUUGCGAACAAAGACAUUUCCUGAGCUGGUGGACUCAGGCAGGUACCAAGCUGGGUGAAAGGAGAAGCUCCUAGCAGUCGCAGCAGAGGAGGCAUUGUCUGUCUGGAGGGUGGGAAAAGGCUUUAGGAGCAAGGCAGGAGGACUGAGCUGGCAGAGGUGGGCAGCUGAGGUGCACCUUGGCUCAAGUGCUGCAGCAUCUGAACUGGUGUUCAGGGUGGAGGGUGGGUGAUGCCACUUGUAGAGAAGCACCUAAGAGCCAGGUGACAACAGCUCUGGCAGACCCUUCACCACGGGUGGCCGAGGGGUGCCAGGCAGCUGAUCCCAGGGGAGCGCGGAUCGGUGGGUGUGUGGGGCUCAGCUCCCCGGUUGGGGUAGCUCUGCUGGCCCAGUCUGCAAUUCGGUAUCCGUGUGUAGCUGAAGCCAGAUAAGCAGUUGUGGUUUUUUGAAGAGUCAGAGCAUGUCUUGCCUGCGCCUAUAAAGUUAGUAAACAGUUGUGUAGCCUGUUUCAGGCAAAAUAUAGAAGAGGGAGAGUUGAAUUCACAUGGUGAGGAAUGAGGCAUGUUUUCACGGAAAAAUGUCAGCUGGAGAUUAAGUGAGAAAAGAUAAAGAUAGAGGACUUCUGGCCCUGCUAUCUGUCUUUUGAGUGUUGACUGAUUAAAACAAGUCAGAGCAAAUGGCUGGAUAUCCCUGAACAAUGCUUCACUGUCCCUCUGCAGAUCAAUACUGCUAGCGCUUUUUUGCCUGAAGAGGGUAUCUGGUCUUUUUGCUCUGGAAGGCACCACGUCCGGCCAAGAUGGAGCCCUGCUCAGGCUGGCUGUAGGUUUUGCCUGCAUGUGGGUAUUGCCUCUUUGGGUGACCAGGACCUUGCAGCAGAUGUCCCUGGGGUGUCUGCGGUAGCUUUGCAGCUUAGGUCAGACGUGCACUUCUGCAGCGAAGUGCUCUGCUGUCCCUGUGUAAUGUACCUUGGUUUUAUCAUAGAACAGAGCACAUGACCUGAUUUGUUUUGGGUUUAACUAAGCCAAAAGACAUGCUCUAUCAACCAGUGGAAAUAGGUUGGUCAGGCCAAGCUAGAGCUCAUGGGAGAGUAAAAUCCCUGGAACACAGAUAAUGUGACUGUUGGGUCCUGAGCAGUGACUCGUUUGCUGUCAAACUUGGCUCUGGCUGUGCUGAUUGCUCGUGUAGAUGCAGCCCCAGAUAAAACAGGAGACCGCCUGUGUAGAUGGCUGGCCAUUUAUGCACCUUGUUGUCUUGAGGCUUAGGCUCGUGACAUGUGGUAUACUUCUGCUCCUUUCUGGAUCAGCCAUCAUCUGGGAGAGCACUUGCUUUGAAUGGGCAUCUUCUGGAUCUCCCCAGCAAGUAACUCGGUCUUAACUUGGAUAAUUCCUUGGCUUUGCUGAUCAUCGUUUGGUUUGCUGCCCAUCCUGUUGUUAUCUUUGCAAAAAUACACUCCUUAGUCUUUUAAGCUUAGGCCAUGUUGGAGACUGAAGUGAAAAGGGGACUCGCUGCAAUGCUGGCUGUGGGAGUUUGUGCUGAGCCUUUUUGGCUGUGGUGCAGAAGGCUUUUUUUCUUGAAACACUAUCUUGAAAUAUGCAGGAAGCAAAGAAAAGCUUCAUUCUUUCUAUCGUAGAUCGGAGAGGUGAGAGGUGUGGAGUUAUGUCUGCAGCGUGGAACGAUGAGUCCCUCUUGACUAGUGAGACCUUGGAGGGAGGUGGCUCUUGUGGGAGAUGAUCCUCCGUGCUGCCAGGAAGCCAAAGUCCAUGCCUUGGAGAGAUUUACUCAGGUUUUCAGGGAAAAACCUCUACACGUUGAAAUGUCAUCCCAGUCAGUAUGUUGAUUUCUAUGGAGAGCUGCUCAUAAAGUCAGCUUGCAAAUGGCAUCUAAAUCCCCAUGACCACGCUGGCCCCAGUGAGUUUGGAUUUAGUACUGGGCACGGUGCAGAGACCGCAUGGCAACCCCUGUGGAUGACCGUCUUCAUGCAAGAGAGCAUGUCUCACUCAUGCCCAUCAGUGGUUUUGACUGUGAGGUGGCCCUGUCAUGCUUGUGGGAAGGUCUGGCCACUGAGGCUGGGAUCUUGGAGGCAUCUCAGAGACAUCUCAUCAUCCCAGUGGACCGAUGCACAGUUGCUCUAGGGGGAAACAGCACAGGGCGCUUCGGGGCUGGCGUGCAAGGACAUGCGAGCUGUGAGGUCUCUGCUGCAGGGCUGACCCCCACUGGGGUGUUUUCAGCUCCUCUGUGUUAUCAUUUGUGCUGAUGCUGAGAUGAAGCUGCAGGCUUCACAUGGCUGAAGGAGGCUAAAUCUGUAUAAGAUAUAUGCCUGGGUAAUUUAUACUGGUGAGAGUUGAGAGUGGAGAAAAUGAGCAGUGGUGUUUUUUUCUAUUGCUGAUGAAUGUCUUGAUAUGUGACUCAAGCUCAGAUCACCAAGUCCUCGUCGUAUCUGCUGUGCCCUCCAGCUGGUAUAUUAGCCCCAGUCAGAGGCUGGGGUGGGUUUUCUUCUAAUUCUGGGUAGAAAGACAUGCUGUCACGUGCCAGAGCGCAGGACAAAGUUUGUGCAUCCUGGGCAGGACCCCUCUGCGUAGGACAUCUCGGAGCCGCACUGUCGUUUGGAGUUUUAGCCACAUUGGUUUGAGUGUCUUUCUCUCCCCCAGGUUGGGUUUGCUGUAGUGUCUCACUAGGGAAUAAGUUUUCUUUCUCCAUGCUCUGUCCUGAUUGCACAACAGUUUGUGAAUGCCAUGCAAGCUGAUGGCUUUAUUGUCUGUAGUCUCCUGAGGUUUGGAACUUGCUUUUCCUGGGCUUGCCUUUUGCUUAGGCAUUUAGUAUGGGCAGAGGAGCUCGAACCAGCACCUCCUUGGGGGCGUGCAUCAGUGUGCCAGCAUCAGCCGGUCCAGACUUCUCAAAACUCACCUGGGGGUCAGGAGGUGGGUGCAGGGUCCUCAGGGGCCAGCUAUUCUGCAUCAGUCCAGCAGAAGCAGGUCCACAGCUGUCUCAUUUCUAGGCAAACUGUGAAGGCUUGCUGAUCUGUCAAUACUUCAAGAAAUGCCGGGGCUAGGAAGCGUGGAUAAAGGAUUUUGUGAAAUCUGGUAUUUAAACCUCCCACUCAAGUGAUGCUGAGGAGAGCUGGCAGUGUAGCAUUGGCUUAUCAGGAACUGUGUGGGCAGGUCAACUUAAGAAAAAUGUUGUGUGAGCAGCACCAGAGGUGAAGAAAAGAAGCCAGUGUCUUGUCAGGUACAGAGUUAUAAAUGGGGUCAAAAUUUAUUUUUAUUAAAAAGAUUAUUUUAUUUAAAUAAUAACAUUAGGAUGACCAUUGCUAGGGGCUGCUGAAGGGCAAUGAGGCAGGUUUCUGAGCAAAAUAGGGACUAGAGGCUUUGAAUUAUUUUCUAGCAUUAAUAAUUCUGAACUACGCGCUGCAAAUUCAUGUAAUUGUCAUCUCUGCUUUCAUGCAUGCAGACAGUUUGAUUUGUGGAUAGAUCUUCUGACAGUGGUGUAUUCAGAGGCUUAUUCGAUCUUUUAAAAAAAAAGUUGGCUUCUGAGCUUCAACUGUCAAUAAAAUUCCUGGUAAAUGAGUCCUUGCAGGCUUCUGCAAGGCCAUAUGUAACUUAUCUUGUCCAAAGAAAGUCUCUAAUUGGUGCUUUAAAGUAAUUAAAAAAAAAGACUCCAUUAACAGUCAGUCUAUUUUUAGUUUAAAGAUGGACUUAUAUGGUCAAAAAGUAAAAAUCCUGGCUUAAUUAUGGAAGUCGAAGAACAUUGUGCUAGGAACUCCACACACGAGUGUAGAGUGGACAUGCUUUAAGAGGGUUUUUUUUCCUGAUAAAAUGCUGUACAGUGCAACAGGUGGAGGCGCUCCAAGCUCCAAAAGCAUUUUGAGGCCAGUGUUGCUGAGCUGGUGAAGAGAUGGUGUUAAAUCAUCUGCAGGUGAUCAUGGUCUGUCCUCACCUCGGCACUGGCUGCCUUGCCUUUUGUUCAUGGAAACUUGACUUGCAACUGGACAGGAUUAAAGGGAUGAUUUAUAAUUUAAGAUAACAGAGUUGUUCUCUGUUCUGGAGAUUCCUCUAGAAACUGGGGAAGUAGCUCUGGGAGGUUUGGAUGGCAGAGGAUUUGAUCAUGGGAAAUAGAGUCUCUGCUCCCAAUGAUGAGGAGAUCCAUCUGAUUGCCUGUUGAGUGGACAUGUGGAUCCUAGAAGGUACCAGAGUGCUUGGGGCAAGCCUGGGGCUGUCACCCUUGAAGCUGAGAUACUUGGGAAAAUUGGGUGCCUGGGAGGAAGACAAAAUUUAGGACAUGGCGACACCUCUUCCUAAAGACUUAAUGCAUGCCUGGGAAGAUGAUAGAAAGUAGGUGAAGUUGAGAGCCAUGACUUUGCAGCGUGGGCUGGUUUGCGCUUCAGCCGAAGCAUCCCUAGACUGGUGACGCAGGAAGUGGACAGGGUUUUGGGAGGAUGGACUGAACGCAGUGCUGGUGGAAGGCUGAGGCUGUCAGGGCUUGGGCAAAGGUGCUGAACAAGAGUGCUGGGAAAAAAAACCUCUGCCCAUUUCUCCUGGAGGACAAAGAGUGAGUUCUUGGCAUGGGGUACGAGGAGGUUGAGAACUGAGUUGUGUACGUGGGAGGAGCAACCAGCUGUUCGGCUGCAGAUUGGGAUAAGAAAUGGGGAUGUGGUCCAAACAAGAAAAAUGUCUGUAUACCAGUGUGGAAACAUGAAACAAAAAUAGUUGUUGUAGAUUACUCGGUGGUGUAAAAAGACCUUGGCAUAGCUGCUCUGAUUGAAACAUGGUGGGGGGUGAUGAAAAUCAGUAUGAUACUGCAUUACCUGCCAUAUAAAUAGGCAUGCUAGGUCAUAAAGGUGCAAAGGCACACUAGAUCUAAAAAGCUGCUGUAAAAUCUGAGAGGAAAUUGGAGUAGUGAUGACCAGACAGACAAAUUUAUGUUGGAUAUAAAUCCCAUAUUUUAAUGACACAGAGGUAUUAGGAAAUUUUCUAUUCCAGAGAAGAAGGUGGUUACAGGCUUCAUGGGGCUUCGGAGAAAACCAGGCUCAUGCAUCUUCAUAAACCUGUAAGAAAAAGUAAAUUCAGUUAUGUCUGUGCUAUCUGGCCAGAUUGUUUGGGAAGAAGCUGGCUACCAUUUUGGUGAACCAACAUCUUGAUUUACUUAAAGGAUCAUUUCUUGUAACAGCCUGGUAUAGAGUUAGCCUUGAUUUAGGACUAAAACGUUAAGAACUGGUUCAAGAUAUAAUUACCAUCGAGUCAUUAAAUAGCAGUGACCACAGUACAAUUACAGGUUCAGCAUCCUCAGGGGUGGAAGGCGCUGGACUAAAAAUGAGUCUUGUGUUAUAAAAUAUUUCAGAGGACAAGAUCGGAAAAAUAAAGUUCUUAAACUCAUCAAGGCAACCCCAUAGAUACCUGGAAAGGUUACAGAUAUCCAAGUUAGGCAGAGUAAAAUAUUUAUAAAGUUAUGAAGUAAAAUUUAUAAAGUUAUAAAGGAAGGGACUUCUGGCAGGACUUCCUCAAAAGAGAGUAGUCCAAGUCUUGCAAAGUAGACUGAAAGAACCAUACUGUAAGGUAACCUGUGAUCUGGAAAUAAAGCCGUUUAGGAGGGACUUUGAAGAUCUGUUGGCCUUAAGGAGCAAAUGCUAUCUUAGAGUAUAUCAGAGAGAAGGCUGGGGAGAAAAUCUGAGCAUGCAAAACUGAAGGCACAGUUAAUUUUCUGCACUACUUCAUACUACUUAAGUGACUUAUCCAUGUCAUUGUGGAACAUAGGGCACGUUUGAGAGACCACCUAUCCAUCACCUAGUCCUUUUGGAUGGUAAAGAUAAGGAGCCUCCCUCUGAAACUCAAGUGUUUAAGGCAGAGAUGCUGCAACAAAGUAGUAAAGUCAAGUGGAAGAGCAACAGGUGUACCUGGGAGUUUCAAAAGAGCUUGAGACUACAGUUACUAGCAAAAAAAGGGCUGUUAAAAAAUAGCUUAGUAUUCUCCAUUACUAGAUAACAUCUUAAUGUCAGAUUAUUAUUUUUUUAAUUAAAGUAUUAAACUGUGCACUGGGAAUUGCAGAUCAGCAACCCUGAACUCCAGUUUGAGAAGGAGAAACUAAAGUGCUCUAAGUCUUCAGUAUGUGAUAGGUUGGAAGCAACGGUCUGCAAAAAAAGGGGGUUGGACUAGGUGGCCUUUGAAGGUCCCUUCCAACCCAAACCAUUUUGUGAAUCUGUGAUCAAUCUUGUUUUCUGGGUAAUCUAUCAGAAUCUUUGAACAUGUUGACAAAAGUAGGAGGUGGAAAAUCAACUGAUCUUUAUUUGGAUGCUUUAAAAGGUUUUUAUCAAGUCUUCCCAAGAAGGUAAUAAAAAAUCAUGCUUGUAACGAGAAGAGAAAUAUCAUAUAGUCCUUCUUUGAUUGCAGCCAAUGUUGAUCACUUGAGCAGCACAAGGUGGACAGAAGUCUGGUUGGAGAUGGUGAUCCAUCUUCUUGAGUAGCUCUUCAGUCUUUGAGCAAAUUAGUUUCCUCUGGAAAACACUAAUUUGUUAAAACCAAAGUUGCCAGGUGAAGAAGAGUUGAUUUUCACUGAACUUUCCUGGUUGCUUGACCUAAGAGGAGAAAUAAGCCCAGAAUACUGGUUAUCAUGGCAUCUAGAUUUCUCCUAUGAUGUGACACCUCCAGUUCAAAUUCCUACUCUGACCUUGACUUGCAGAUCUGCCAGAUCCCAGAGCAUGCCUCAGCAGCUAAUCUUGUGGAUAUGUUCUGUUUUCUUUUGUUUUUACCAAGAAAAACCUAAAAGAUUUUGGUUUUGACAACGGGCAGAAAGGGAGGGAAUGGGGAGAGAGGUCUGGUCAGCAUUUUCCAGGUCUCAUCUAGCUCUGUUUUUGAGGGAGUGUUGUCCAUGUGUGUGUGCCUGUGCAGACCUGUGUUACGUCUCUUCCCAAGAGACCUAGGAGGACCCAUAGCAAACUGGUGUGAGCUAGGGCUGCUCUAGCUUAAUUUUAGGCUUCUUAAAAGUCUAGAAGUCAUGGCAAAUCCCCAUGCUUCUCCCACCUUCCCUGUCGUCAGUAGAUCAUGGUACCAAAGAGCAAGUGCUUUGACAAGUCAUAAAUAGGAGUAGGUUAACUGCAGGCACCUCAAGGCUUUCAGGUAGAGUUGGUGUUUAAGUGUAAGGACUGGCAAUUGAAAGAGCAGAGUGGUUGGUUUAUACUAGAGAAGUGACUUCAGGCUGGCCGUGACUGGAAGAUUCAGCAGAGCAUGAUAAGGUCUGGUACGGUGAGCAGGCGGUGGUGUGGACCCUGGGAAAUGCGAGGCAACAGGCAGGGGAAAACAAAGUCAUUUUUAAUGCUCCAACAAUAUUGCUAGGCUUUAAGUGAUUUGCUCAUACAGGAAGAAUAUCUGAUUCUGGGUAGCAAAAGCAAAUGAUGUGAAGGUGUAUAGGCCACCAUAGACAAUAACUGCAUAUUACAGAUUUCGGUGCUAAGGUCUGAGAGGCUGCUGUGCGUGAACUCUCCUGUAACACGGUUCGUUAGACCCCCGUGGUGUCCCUGUGCUGUUUUCCCUUGGUAAUCUGGUAGUUGUCACUGGCACAACCUUUGUCCCCUCCCCCUAGAAAUACUAAUUUCAUUAGAUUGCUCACUUCUAGUUAAAUUAUACCAGCUGACUUUGAAGUACUUAAUAUAAAAAUGUUGUGGUAUGUUUGCAUGAUAGUUACUUGAUAUAAGAAAAAAAAAUCUCUUGUGCUCUCUCUUUAGGAAUUUGAGCUUUGAGUUUCAUUGGGGAGUGUUGUACAUACCCAACUGCACGGGAUCAGGCCCAUCUCUUUUUAAAAAUGUAUUUCACAUCUGAGAUUAGAAAUGUUCUACAAGACAAAUCAGAAGAUAGAGUUGACUGUUACAGGCUCAGAUGAUAAUAGUGACUUGUGCUAAAAGGCUGUCCAUCCACAUAGAAAACUGCACAGCUGCUUCUGUUUAACUGCUGUCAAAGGUCUGGCAUCUUGCUAGUAGUAUCCUUUUCUAAAUGUACUGAGUAUACUUGCCUUUAAAUCCUGUUAGGUACAGAUAGUUAUUGUUGGUAUUCUGUAAAUUAGCUCUAUACUAGCAUUCACAUUGGACUAGGCUUAAUAUUGUGUCAAAGAUGACUUGAAAAAGGAAAAUUAAUUUAUACCCUUUUAAUGAGGUUCUACCCUGUAUAGGGGCUGUUUGUAGAAGUACCAGGAGUGUACAGCUGUCUUCCUCCUUUUACUUUCUGUGAUUCUCUGCAGGAGAACGUACAGAUUUUAAUCUAUUUUUCCAUCCUUUACAGACAAUGAGAUAUUCUCACGGUGAGGUCCAUGGAAAUACGUGGAUAAACCAGGCCAUAAUGCAGAGAUAAUGCAUCUUUUUUUUUUUUUUUUUUUUUUUUAUUCUGCUGUCAAUCAGGCCUCUGAGCUUUUAUUUUAAAUGUAAAAAAUUUAAAUUGUUUGAGUAAAAAUCUCUUCCCUCAUCUGUCCGGUGUGACAUCCUCUAAUAUUUGUAGGUCUGUUCAGGUGGGAUUAUUUGUGGUCUUCCAGAAAAGGUAGAUGAGGCUGGAAUUACUAAUGCCAAAAAUUGCCCACGGCAAGGGAGGGAAAUCUUUGUUUUCAAGACAGAGCCCAUCCGGACCCUUUUCAUAUGUCCCACAGCACACCGCCGGGGUAUAAAUACCUAUUUUUUCUUUUCCAGGUGAUCUUUAGGCCAGGUAGCAGCAGGCAAGGUCAGUCUGUUGGGUGGAUGGGAUGGGGGUCCUGCCCUGCAUAUUUGGCCUGCUUCAGCAUCAAACCCAAUGUUUUUUAGGCUGGGCUUUUGUCCUCCAAGCAGAGGUCAUCCCUGGCACAGCCAGCCCUGGGGGCUGUCAGUGCCGUUUGGCAUCCUCGCCGUUUGGCGUUCCUUGCAUCUUCACAGGUACAAGACCCCCAGCAUCGCCACGGGGAUGCUGCCCACACACCACCCAGCCACUCGGUGUGCAUUUAGGGAGAUAUAUGUGGUUGGCUUUCACUGUGUCCUCAAUUUUGAUCCCCAGGGCAGAAAAAUUAGGACUUUCUCAGUUAAAGAAAAAAAACCAAAAAAGUGAAGCAAAAUCUCUGGAGAGUGGUGUUUUCCCGCAGUAGUGACAGCUGUUCGCCACCCGCUUCUGUUCAGCCAUGACCCCUGGUUCAGUUCUGCUGGGUUUGUAGCCAUCCUGACCUCAUGUUUGCAAAUAUUAUUGGUAAUAUAAUGCUCUAUGUACAAAUGUCUGUGUGGCUCAUGUAUGUUUCUGUGGUUCAAGUCAGCCACAGACUUCUGGAAUUUCAUUGUACUUUGGUUAAAUGUUGGACUUUUAACUCUUCUACUGUAUGGCUUCUUGAUUUCUCUUGUCCAGUGUGGACCAACUCUAUUUUUGGAAAUAAAUAAGCAUGUAAAUAAAAUGAAUGGGUUUAUGCCACUUAUAAGAAAAUGCUUUAUUUAAAAUAUACACUCAGUCUUGUAUAUUUUAUGGUAUCUCAGGGCGUGGAUGAGGCUCAGGCGCCAACAGCAUUGGUGAUGAGAUACCAUAUUAUGUACAAAUUCAUUUCCAAGUGGUUUUGAAGAAGACUUUCCAUCUCCUGAGCCAAACCCCCAUAGGACCAGCCUUGCGGAGGGCGGGGGGAGAAAUCCAGAAAGAAACGCGUAGUUUAAGGGGGAGUAAAGGAAAGAAACACGACUUUCCUCUCAACACAAGGCUUCUGGUUUGAGGUGUCUGGGUGCCAAAGAUGCCGCUGAGUGUAGGGAUGCUGCAGGGCAGUUCUCAGCUCCUGCCCAGGAGCACGUGGAGAUCAGGAGCACAAUGACUUCUUUUUUUUCUUUUUUAACUUCUCCAUAUAAACCAAUAUUUACCAGUAAUCCUGUGUUUCUGUUUUUGUUUUUUGGCAGACUUUUACCAGUAAAUAUCGGUUUAUUCCUGAAACCAGAAGCCCUAAACAUACCUUUGUUAAUAAGGUCAGUUGUCAUUUUGUCUCUCUCGUUCCCCGCUCCCCCCUAGUACAACCUGGCAGGUGAUUGAAAGGUACCAAGUUUUCUUUCUAGUUUUCCUGCUCUGCAUCUCUGGGAACUGGAGCCCGCAGGACCUAGAGCCUUCUGUUGGUAACGUAGACCCAAGUUUACAAAUUAUUCUUUUACCAUUUUAAAGCCUGCUUUUAAGGACAGAGGUUAUUCCUGGCUGCCCACUACGGGAACUGGUAGAAGCCCCUGCAAAUGCAUAAGUUGCUUCACCUCUCCGAAGCCUGUGGCCUGGGUGGUUCUGAUUGCUGGCAGUUCUGUAUUACAACUUAAUCUGAGCAAUUGAGGCUGGUCCUACAUUAUCUUCAGACGUCUUUCGGAGGACUCCUGUUACCAGUUUGGUACUCAAAAGCUACACCCCACCAUCAGAAGUCACUUUUUUUUUUUUUUUUCCAAAGGCAGUGAUAGAUUACCCUCUCUAGCUCUAAUGGAAAAACAAUAAUUGCAAUGCAACUUUAUAAUAAAUUGUUCAUAUAUUCGUAAUUCCAUUGCAAUCCCAAAUUGGAGAAGAGAUCUGUUAAAGUGCACUGGUGUACCAAGCCUCAGAACCACUGCUUUCUCCAGCUCAUAGGAUGCUUUUCCAAGACUGUGGAUACGUGUAUGUGUACUGCUGUGUUGAUAAGUAAAUGCCAACGAUGGAGUUCGUUGCUUUUAUACAUCCCAAAGAGAAGUUCUCCACCGUUCAUUUUCUGUUUUCUGACUGAAAAGGCGUGUGUUUGUGAACAGUGUUCACGCAAGUUCUGCCAUCCCACACUCACAUCAGCUUAUACCAAUGCCAGGAUGGGAGGAUUUGCCUGCGUACCUUCCCCAAAACACCCUGGUCCACAGUGGCAUCGUCAGGGAGCAGUUCAAACGUGUGUCCUUUGGGCUUUGUGUAAAGCAAAUGCAGAACAAGAAAAAUUGAGAUGUUAAAUCCAUUAGAAAACAAAUUCCUUAUUGUACAGUAGUAUGGAGAUCUCUAGUCAACCUGCCAUUAAUAAUAGAUUCUUAUUUUUUGAAUGAUCUAUUUAAAAGAACAGCAAGCAUUGUAUUUGCUAGUAAAUCUGAAGUGUUUACAUGGAAUUACUAAAUAAAUUAUUUGAUCUAA